rnacentral:rRNA from 1 species
GACGAACGCUGGCGGCGUGCCUAAUACAUGCAAGUCGAACGCAGUGGGGACGGGUGAGUAACACGUGGGUAACCUCCCAUCAGAGGGGAUAACACUUGGAAACAGGUGCUAAACCGAUACUGAUGGAUGGACCCGCGGUGCAUUAGCUAGGUGGUGAGGUAACGGCUCACAAGGGCCACGAUGCAUAGCGGACCUGAGAGGGGGAUCGGCCACACUGGGACUGAGCCACGGCCCAGGCUCCUACGGGAGGCAGCAGGAGGGAAUCAGCGGCGAUGGACGAAAGUCUGACCGAGCAACGCCGCGUCAGGGAAGAGGGUUUUCGGAUCGUAAAACUCUGUUGUUAUAGAAGCGGUAUCUAACCAGAAAGCCACGGCUAACUACGUGCCAGCAGCCGCGGUAAUAC